ACUCCUAAACUCAGCCGCACGCCUAAACAAAACACAAAGCCUUCUCAAUCUCAAUCCGAAACUCAACUCUCUCGCCUCUUCUCUCUCUUUGUUUCAUAGUUAUUCUUGUUAUUAUCUCUCUCGGUGGUUCGCGAAGGGGUUCUCGAUGGUGAGGGGUUGUUCUUAGUGGCUCUUUGCGUCGAUGGUGAGGGGUUGUUCUUAGAGGCUCUUCCCGGACAUAAGCUAGAGGAUGACCGGAGUUGAGUAAUAGCAGCAAUGGUGGAAAUCGAGCGACGACUGUGGAAAUCGAGCGACGACCGUGGAAAUCGAGCGACAACCGUUAUUCUUGCUUGUUGAUCAGUUUCUCUUUGUCUCUGUGCACAAAACGUUGGACGACCGUUGCCGUCCCCGUCCCCAACAAGCCCCAUCAAGGGUCGAUGGUGCGGGUUCAAGUCGACGUUCCUGGUUUCGGAUUAACGUCAGGUUCAAGUCACUAUUUAAUGUUCGUCGUUGAUUGUACUGGCCGGUUUAGCUAAGGUUCGUGGCUGCCGAUCUGAGUCGGGCGAGAUUGUUUUUGCUGAUUUGUAAAAAUCGUCCAAACCACAUCAGUGUUAUUUUGUUUUUGUAACAAUGACAUUUUGUUUGUAAUUAACUAUUUCAAUUAAGUUUUUUAUGUUCAUUUCAUUUUUCAUUUUGUAAAAUUUAUUUUCUUAUUCAGUGUAAAUUUAUUCAGUGUAAAUGAAUAUUAAGUUUUUACA